rnacentral:rRNA from 1 species
AGUCGUAACAAGGUCUCCGUAGGUGAACCUGCGGAGGGAUCAUUACACAAAUAUGAAGGCGGGCUGGAACCUCUCGGGGUUACAGCCUUGCUGAAUUAUUCACCCUUGUCUUUUGCGUACUUCUUGUUUCCUUGGUGGGUUCGCCCACCACUAGGACAAACAUAAACCUUUUGUAAUUGCAAUCAGCGUCAGUAACAAAUUAAUAAUUACAACUUUCAACAACGGAUCUCUUGGUUCUGGCAUCGAUGAAGAACGCAGCGAAAUGCGAUAAGUAGUGUGAAUUGCAGAAUUCAGUGAAUCAUCGAAUCUUUGAACGCACAUUGCGCCCUUUGGUAUUCCAAAGGGCAUGCCUGUUCGAGCGUCAUUUGUACCCUCAAGCUUUGCUUGGUGUUGGGCGUCUUGUCUCUAGCUUUGCUGGAGACUCGCCUUAAAGUAAUUGGCAGCCGGCCUACUGGUUUCGGAGCGCAGCACAAGUCGCACUCUCUAUCAGCAAANGNCUAGCAUCCAUUAAGCCUUUUUUUCAACUUUUGACCUCGGAAUCAGGUAGGGAUACCCGCUGAANUUAAGCAUAUCA